UCCAAAAAAAAAAAAAUUCUGACCAAGUCUUCUCAUCUCCCCUAUAUCGUCUCUCUCACCUCCUCCUGUCAAAUCUCAACCGACCGACUAUUGCCCCUCCCCACCCAAAAGAAGGACACCAAAUUUCUGGCUGGAGGUUGAGACUGAUCUUAGCGUCAGGAUGCUCAAGAUUCUCUUGGGCUAUGUUCACUUGCCGGUGUGGUGCCCUGCAACGCUCGAGAUGGCGGCCGCGGUGCCAGCCUCGCUGGUGCGGCGCCGGCCGCCGGGUAAGGCCUCAGAUUCGUCGACAAGAUGAGCAGCACAUGGUUCGGGAGGGUGCCGGCCUAGACGUGCCCAACCCCGUCAUCUGAUUUCCCCAAGAACACAGCUAAAAAAGAAGUUGUGAAUCACAAGAAAUUGGGGUUGCGUCGCAGAGAGAGAACGAGAGGUUGAGAGUUUAGAUUUAUUUCAGUUCUUUUAUUCUGUGAUGAUAAUACGAAGUCCUGUUACUCCCUUUUACAGUAGUAUA